rnacentral:rRNA from 3 species
GUUGUAGUCUGGAGAAGUGCUUUCCGCGCCGGACCGUGUACAAGUCUCUUGGAAUAGAGCGUCAUAGAGGGUGAGAAUCCCGUCUUUGACACGGACUACCGGUGCUUUGUGAUGCGCUCUCAAAGAGUCGAGUUGUUUGGGAAUGCAGCUCAAAAUGGGUGGUAAAUUCCAUCUAAAGCUAAAUAUUGGCGAGAGACCGAUAGCGAACAAGUACCGUGAGGGAAAGAUGAAAAGCACUUUGGAAAGAGAGUUAAACAGUACGUGAAAUUGCUGAAAGGGAAACGCUUGAAGUCAGUCGCGUCGUGCAGAACUCAACCUUGCUUUCGCUUGGUGCACUUUCUGUACGACGGGCCAGCAUCAAUUUUGACCGUCGGAUAAAGGCCGAAGGAAUGUGGCACCCGUUUGGGUGUGUUAUAGCCUUCGGUCGCAUACGGCGGUUGGGAUUGAGGAACGCAGCGCGCCGCAAGGUGGGGCUUCGGCCUACUUUCGCGCUUAGGAUGCUGGCAUAAUGGCUUUAAACGACCCGUCUUGAAACACGGACCAAGGAGUCUAACAUGCCUGCGAGUGUUUGGGUGGAAAACCCGAGCGCGUAAUGAAAGUGAAAGUUGAGACCUCUGUCGUGGAGGGCAUCGACGCCCGGACCAGACGUUUACUGACGGAUCCGCGGUAGAGC